GUGGCCGUAGCUCAAUUGGUAGAGCACUCGGUUGUGGUCCGAGCGGUUGAGGGUUCAAGCCCCUUCGGCCACC
rnacentral:tRNA from 1 species